AUGAACGCUGGCGGCGUGCCUAAUACAUGCAAGUCGAGCGAACAGAUAAGGAGCUUGCUCCUUUGAAGUUAGCGGCGGACGGGUGAGUAACACGUGGGUAACCUACCUAUAAGACUGGGAUAACUUCGGGAAACCGGAGCUAAUACCGGAUAACAUUUAGAACCGCAUGGUUCUAAAGUGAAAGAUGGUUUUGCUAUCACUUAUAGAUGGACCCGCGCCGUAUUAGCUAGUUGGUAAGGUAACGGCUUACCAAGGCGACGAUACGUAGCCGACCUGAGAGGGUGAUCGGCCACACUGGAACUGAGACACGGUCCAGACUCCUACGGGAGGCAGCAGUAGGGAAUCUUCCGCAAUGGGCGAAAGCCUGACGGAGCAACGCCGCGUGAGUGAUGAAGGGUUUCGGCUCGUAAAACUCUGUUAUUAGGGAAGAACAAAUGUGUAAGUAACUGUGCACAUCUUGACGGUACCUAAUCAGAAAGCCACGGCUAACUACGUGCCAGCAGCCG
rnacentral:rRNA from 1 species